AAUACUUGCAAGUCGAGCGAACAGACGAGGAGCUUGCUCCUCUGACGUUAGCGGCGGACGGGUGAGUAACACGUGGAUAACCUACCUAUAAGACUGGGAUAACUUCGGGAAACCGGAGCUAAUACCGGAUAACAUGUUGAACCGCAUGGUUCAACAGUGAAAGACGGUCUUGCUGUCACUUAUAGAUGGAUCCGCGCCGCAUUAGCUAGUUGGUAAGGUAACGGCUUACCAAGGCAACGAUGCGUAGCCGACCUGAGAGGGUGAUCGGCCACACUGGAACUGAGACACGGUCCAGACUCCUACGGGAGGCAGCAGUAGGGAAUCUUCCGCAAUGGGCGAAAGCCUGACGGAGCAACGCCGCGUGAGUGAAGAAGGUCUUCGGAUCGUAAAACUCUGUUAUUAGGGAAGAACAAAUGUGUAAGUAACUAUGCACGUCUUGACGGUACCUAAUCAGAAAGCCACGGCUAACUACGUGCCAGCAGCCGCGGUAAUACGUAGGUGGCAAGCGUUAUCCGGAAUUAUUGGGCGUAAAGCGCGCGUAGGCGGUUUUUUAAGUCUGAUGUGAAAGCCCACGGCUCAACCGUGGAGGGUCAUUGGAAACUGGAAAACUUGAGUGCAGAAAAGGAAAGUGGAAUUCCAUGUGUAGCGGUGAAAUGCGCAGAGAUAUGGAGGAACACCAGUGGCGAAGGCGACUUUCUGGUCUGUAACUGACGCUGAUGUGCGAAAGCGUGGGGAUCAAACAGGAUUAUAUACCCUGGUAGUCCACGCCGUAAACGAUGAGUGCUAAGUGUUAGGGGGUUUCCGCCUCUUAUUGCUGCGGCUAACGCAUUAAGCACUCCGCCUGGGGAGUACGACCGCAAGGUGGAUACUCACAGGAAUUGACGGGGACCCGCACAAGCGGUGUAGCAUGUGGAUU
rnacentral:rRNA from 1 species